GCUGUGUGUGGAUGGUGUUCAGCACCGGGGACAGGUGUGUUUACCUGCGUGCGGACGGUGUUCAGCACCAGGGACAUGUGUGUUUACCU
rfam:Branchiostoma floridae genomic scaffold BRAFLscaffold_17, whole genome shotgun sequence.